AAAAAAAAUCAAUAAAAAUAUAUUUUAAAAAAUAAAAACCUUUGACAAAGCAUGAGCUUCUAUCUCUUCUGAGCAUAGUUUUUGAUAAAUCAUAAAGCUACAUCAUUGUAUUUGCUGUGCAACAUGAGCACCACCACCCUCUUCUCCCUCUCCCUUCUCUCUUCAGUAAAGACAUUUAAAGACAAUAAUUGACUGGUGCUGUAACAGUGGGGAUUGUAACCCACCCCACCAUUCUUUUGACAUUGUUUCUGUAAAUGAUGACUCUACUAAGUAGCUUGUAGAAAAACAGCAUGUUUGUAAAAGAAUCUUAGGAAUUAAUUUCAGAAGAUACAGACUCUGACCUUUAGUCAUUGCAGUUCUGAGAAAUUUUCUGACCUUCAGCCAUGGAACCAGGAUGACAGAGACCAGGAUAACGCAUACCAGACUGUCACUUGACUGAUUCUUUGAGAUUCCUCAUAGGAGUGGAUGGCGCUGACCUGUACGCAGAGAAUUUUUAGCGGCCUCCCUUUGUUUCUUUGUUCUUCUUUGCCUCUCCCGCCUUAUAAAAACCUCUGCCUGCACUGAGAUAGGGAGUGGGCUUUCUGAUCAGGGUCCCCCAUCACCUGAGGUGACCGGCACUUGAAUAAACCUCUCCUUUCUCACCAGCAUUUGUCUCGGGAGUCUGGUUUUCUCUGGCAGCAGGUAGCCAGACUUGGGUUCUGGGUACAGUGGGAGGGGAAGUGGCUGGCAUGUAGGCAAACGAGAUGGGCCCUGUGUUAAAAACGGAUGAAGCUUAGUGUAUGUGGAGCAUUCUUAUAUUAUUCUCUCCACUUAGGUGUCUGUGUGAAACUAUCCUUAAUAAACAAAAAUGAG